UACGUAGGGGGCGAGCGUUGUCCGGAUUUAUUGGGCGUAAAGAGCUCGUAGGUGGUUUGGUAAGUCGGAUGUGAAAUCUCCAGGCUCAACCUGGAGGGGUCAUUCGAUACUGCCAUGACUAGAGUUCGGUAGGGGAGUGUGGAAUUCCUGGUGGAGCGGUGAAAUGCGCAGAUAUCAGGAGGAACACCGGUGGCGAAGGCGGGUCUCUGGGCAAUAACUGACGCUGAGGAGCGAAAGCGUGGGGAGCGAACAGG
rnacentral:rRNA from 1 species